rnacentral:rRNA from 1 species
CACCGCGGUUAUACGAGAGGCCCAAGUUGACAGACUACGGCGUAAAGAGUGGUUAGGGAAACUUUUAAACUAAAGCCGAACGUCCUCAAAGCUGUUUAACGCUCCCGAGUUAAGAAGAUCCAUUACGAAAGUAGCUUUAUUCAACCUGACCCCACGAAAGCUGUGAAA